GGGUUGUGAGGUUAAGCGACUAAGCGUACACGGUGGAUGCCCUGGCAGUCAGAGGCGAUGAAGGGCGUGCUAAUCUGCGAUAAGCGCCGGUAAGGUGAUAUGAACCGUUAUAACCGGCGAUACCCGAAUGGGGAAACCCAGUGUGACUCGUCACACUAUCAUUAACUGAAUCCAUAGGUUAAUGAGGCGAACCGGGGGAACUGAAACAUCUAAGUACCCCGAGGAAAAGAAAUCAACCGAGAUUCCCCCAGUAGCGGCGAGCGAACGGGGAGGAGCCCAGAGCCUGAAUCAGCAUGUGUGUUAGUGGAAGCGUCUGGAAAGACGCGCGAUACAGGGUGACAGCCCCGUACACAAAAGCGCAUGUGUUGUGAGCUCGAUGAGUAGGGCGGGACACGUGGUAUCCUGUCUGAAUAUGGGGGGACCAUCCUCCAAGGCUAAAUACUCCUGACUGACCGAUAGUGAACCAGUACCGUGAGGGAAAGGCGAAAAGAACCCCGGCGAGGGGAGUGAAAAAGAACCUGAAACCGUGUACGUACAAGCAGUGGGAGCACAGGUUUACCUGUGUGACUGCGUACCUUUUGUAUAAUGGGUCAGCGACUUAUAUUCUGUAGCAAGGUUAACCGAAUAGGGGAGCCGGAGGGAAACCGAGUCUUAAUUGGGCGUUAAGUUGCAGGGUAUAGACCCGAAACCCGGUGAUCUAGCCAUGGGCAGGUUGAAGGUUGGGUAACACUAACUGGAGGACCGAACCGACUAAUGUUGAAAAAUUAGCGGAUGACCUGUGGCUGGGGGUGAAAGGCCAAUCAAACCGGGAGAUAGCUGGUUCUCCCCGAAAGCUAUUUAGGUAGCGCCUCGUGAACUCAUCUCCGGGGGUAGAGCACUGUUUCGGCUAGGGGGCCAUCCCGGCUUACCAACCCGAUGCAAACUGCGAAUACCGGAGAAUGUUAUCACGGGAGACACACGGCGGGUGCUAACGUCCGUCGUGAAGAGGGAAACAACCCAGACCGCCAGCUAAGGUCCCAAAGUCAUGGUUAAGUGGGAAACGAUGUGGGAAGGCCCAGACAGCCAGGAUGUUGGCUUAGAAGCAGCCAUCAUUUAAAGAAAGCGUAAUAGCUCACUGGUCGAGUCGGCCUGCGCGGAAGAUGUAACGGGGCUAAACCAUGCACCGAAGCUGCGGCAGCGACACUCAGGUGUUGUUGGGUAGGGGAGCGUUCUGUAAGCCUGUGAAGGUGUGUCGUGAGGCAUGCUGGAGGUAUCAGAAGUGCGAAUGCUGACAUAAGUAACGAUAAAGCGGGUGA
rnacentral:rRNA from 1 species